rnacentral:rRNA from 1 species
AACGAACGCUGGCGGCGUGGAUAAGACAUGCAAGUCGGACGAGAUUUUCCGUUGUAGCAAUACGAUGGAAAGUCUAGUGGCGAACGGGUGCUUAACACGUGGGCAACCUGCCAAGAAGUGGGGGAUAGCUCGCCGAAAGGCGAAUUAAUACCGCAUGUGAUCAGGAGAGACAUCUCUUCGAAAUUAAAGUCGGGGCAACCUGACGCUUCUUGUGGGGCCCGCGGCCUAUCAGCUAGUUGGUGAGGUAACGGCUCACCAAGGCUUUGACGGGUAGCUGGUCUGAGAGGACGACCAGCCACACUGGGACUGGGACACGGCCCAGACACCUACGGGUGGCAGCAGUCGAGAAUUUUUGACAAUGGGGGAAACCCUGAUCGAGCGACGCCGCGUGGAGGAUGAAGGUCUUCGGAUUGUAAACUCCUGUCAUGCGCGAACAAGGUUGCGGGGCUAAUACCCCCUGCAAAUUGAUGGUACCGCAAGAGGAAGAGACGGCUAACUCUGUGCCAGCAGCCGCCGUAAGAC